GAUGAACGCUGGCGGCGUGCCUAAUACAUGCAAGUCGAGCGAAUGGAUUAAGAGCUUGCUCUUAUGAAGUUAGCGGCGGACGGGUGAGUAACACGUGGGUAACCUGCCCAUAAGACUGGGAUAACUCCGGGAAACCGGGGCUAAUACCGGAUAACAUUUUGAACCGCAUGGUUCGAAAUUGAAAGGCGGCUUCGGCUGUCACUUAUGGAUGGACCCGCGUCGCAUUAGCUAGUUGGUGAGGUAACGGCUCACCAAGGCAACGAUGCGUAGCCGACCUGAGCGGGUGAUCGGCCACACGGGGCCGGAGACACGGCCCAGCUUCCUACGGGAGGCAGCAGUAGGGAAUCUUCCGCAAUGGACGACAGUCUGACGGAGCAACGCCGCGUGAGUGAGGAAGGCUUUCGGGUCGUAAAGCUCUGUUGUUAGGGAAGAACAAGUGCUAGUUGAAUAAGCUGGCACCUUGACGGUACCUAACCAGAAAGCCACGGCUAACUACGUGCCAGCCGCCGCGGUAA
rnacentral:rRNA from 1 species